UGUUCUGUCCACCGGAGUUCGAUGUCGAUGGCAGGUAUCACGCAAAGCCGGCGACAGUUUGGUCAUUAGGGAUCCUGCUGUUUGUGAUGGUGUGCGGGUCUUAUCCAGAUGACAAAGACCUGCACAUGAUCAGUAAGAACGACUGGUCCAACCCUGACCCGUCACAAGAAUGCUGCUGGAUAAUUUGCUCCUGUCUGCAGCUGGAUCCACAGUGGAGAAUUAUUCUGGAGGAGAUGCAGCUCCAUGACCGGUUUAUGGUCAUGAAGUAAGACAUAGAGAUCAAUAAAAACCCUGUCAUGGCCACUCUUUUGUUUUCUGUUUUCAGUCAGCUUUGUGUCGGGCAGGCUGACAUGAGUGGCCUUUUUUCAAUCCCUCCACUAGGACAGAUACCUUGUAUUAAGUAUUAAGUUAUUUGAAUUUGUAUUAAGAUAUUUAUCCUAUUUAUGUGUUACUUUGGACAUGUUUCUACUGACUGCUGUAAUGAAUCCCUGUG